CUACCUGAUUUGAGGUCAAUUGUCAAAUUGUCCUUGCGGACGAUUAGAGAGCUGGACUCUAUUCAUGCGUGCUAUUGAUGAGUGAUAAUUAUCACAUCAUGCGCAGAGGCAAUGAGAAGUCCUGCUAAUGCAUUUAAGAGGAGCCGACCUGUCAAGGCCAGCAGCCCCCAACAAUCCAAACAUCACAAUUGGAAAAAAACCAAAGUGAGUUUGAGAAUUUAAUGACACUCAAACAGGCAUGCCCCUCGGAAUACCAAGGGGCGCAAGGUGCGUUCAAAGAUUCGAUGAUUCACUGAAUUCUGCAAUUCACAUUACUUAUCGCAUUUCGCUGCGUUCUUCAUCGAUGCGAGAGCCAAGAGAUCCGUUGUUGAAAGUUGUAUUAUGGUUUAAAGGCACAAGGCCCAUUAAAUGACAUUCGUAGACAUACAUUUGGGGUGUGUAAAUAAAUAAAAUGGGGAGGCCCCCCCAAACCGUUAAAUCCCCCCAACCCAAUCUGAGAACAUGAGAAACAACUUCUCACAUCUAUAAAAAGAUCACACGGGGGUGAAAAACUAUAGAAAAGUGCGCAUGCCCCUCUAGAGCCGCGCCAACACCCUAUAGAAAACAUUUAAGAGCCCUUCCCACGGGCACCCCCCGAAAAACUGUGACAACAUUUACUUCCAAAAAAA
rnacentral:misc_RNA from 1 species